UACGGAGGGUGCAAGCGUUAUCCGGAUUCACUGGGUUUAAAGGGCUCGUAGGCGGCCAACUAAUUCAGACGUGAAAUCCCUCGGCUUAACCGGGGAACUGCGUCUGAUACUGGUUGGCUUGAGUGUGGGAGAGGGAUGCGGAAUUCCAGGUGUAGCGGUGAAAUGCGUAGAUAUCUGGAGGAACACCGGUGGCGAAGGCGGCAUCCUGGACCAUUACUGACGCUGAGGAGCGAAAGCCAGGGGAGCAAACGGG
rnacentral:rRNA from 1 species